AGUACCUUCAGGGCCUCAGUGAAGCAGAGCUCAGACCCCAACCUGCCCACGGCCCCCCACCCAGUCAGUCUCCUUCCAGCAGGCGCAGCUGGGAGGUCCCCUGGGCUGCUCUCCAGCAGGUGGGAAACAGAACCAUGCUGGGUCCCCUCGCCUUCCUGUGCACCCUCCUUCUUCCCGGUGGAGUGGCAGCGCUCAGUCUGAAUCAGCCGACUGUGGUCGUCGGGCGCCUGGGAGGCUCAGCCACCUUGCUCUGCACAGCCAGCGAAUCUGUCAGCUACAUCCACUGGUACCUCCACCAGGAGGGGAGCGCUCCCAAGAGGAUCCUCAUGCUGGAUAUGUCAAGGUCAUAUGUGCAGAGAUAUGGAGGCUACAGAUCAGACAAGAUCACUGCCAAGAGAGUCAGGAACACCUACAGCUGUGAACUGUCACUGCUGAAGCUGGAGAAGCGGGACGAGGGCGCAUACUACUGCGCUGCCUGGGAAGCUCGGGUUGGGAGUAGGUGGGCUCACAAAGUGUUCGGCCCUGGCACACUGCUCAGGACUACAGACAAAAAUCCUGAUGAAGACAUUUCCCCCAAACCCACAAUUUUUCUUCCUUCAAUUGCUGAAGUAAAACUUCAUAAGGUGGGAACAUAUGUUUGUCUUCUUGAGGACUUUUUCCCUGAUGUUAUUGAGAUAGAUUGGAAAGAAAAGAAUGGCAAAACAGUUCUGGAGUCCCUGCAGGGAAACACCAUGAAGACUAAGGACACGUACAUGAAAUACACCUGGCUGACCGUGCAACAAGAGUCAAUGGAUAGAGAACACAAAUGUAUCGUCAAACGUGAGAAAAAAGGAAAAAACGUUGAACAAGAGAUUCUUUUUCCUUCCGUAAACAAAAGUUUGGAGGAGGCAAAAAGAUCUGAAGUGAACCCCCAGGGGCAUUCAGAGACAAGGCAAAAGCCUGGGCUGGUAACCGUGAGCCCUCUGGGUUCUCUGUCCUCUUCACCGGUUUCAUGGGCUGCAGAACUUGCUGCUAUUAACUACACAAAAGCUUCUCUGAAAGAUGAAAAUGACCCUCUGCAGUUGCAGUUCAUGAACACCUCUGCCUACUACACCUACCUCCUCCUCCUGGUCAAGAGCAUGGUCUACACCAUCAUCAUCACCAUUGGUCUGCUUGGGAGAGGAGCACUCUGUGACAAUGGGAAGAGGUCCUAACCUAUGUCACCACCAAGGGUUGACUUUUCCUCAUUGGCUAUUAUCAUACAAGAGUCUGCUGAGGAUCUAGUGGGACUUCCUUUCUGGGUUUGGGUCAUUUCAUUUCACAUGUGUCUUCUUAUGUUCUGUCAUUAUUGCAGAAUGGGUUUGCAAACCCCUGGGCAAACAGGAAAUGUCACUCUGCACCAGGAACAAAUUCUGCCAUGAUUCAGGGGAGAGGUGAGGGACAUCCAUGGGGGCUUCAGCACUAUUCUCUCCUUACUGUCCACGGCCUCCUCAGCCACCCAGCACCCUUGCAUCUGCCUACAGCCAGUGUGCAGCUUCCCUAGCAUCCCCUGGGUUUUUUUUUCCAAAUAAAUGCCUGGAGUCCUUUUGUUUUACAUUUCUGGAAGCUGCCAUCUUUGCUACCUGAACUUUGUACUGUUUUUCAUUACAGGCACAAUAAAAAACAACCAAAAGCCUACUUUUGCCUCUGUGGACAUUCUUUUGGUGAAAUACGAAGACAAGGUCAGGGACAGCAUGACAACUGAGCCUUCAAAUUCAGCUUUGGUUGUAAUAAUGGCCGAUUCCACAUUUCUAAUUCUUUCUCUGAGAGAGUCCUUGUUCGCGUUAGGGUUCUUUGAGGC